rnacentral:rRNA from 1 species
AUUGAACGCUGGCGGCAUGCUUUACACAUGCAAGUCGAACGGUAACAGCACUUCGGUGGCUGACGAGUGGCGAACGGGUGCGUAAUACAUCGGAACGUGCCUAGUAGUGGGGGAUAACUACUCGAAAGAGUAGCUAAUACCGCAUGAGAUCUAAGGAUGAAAGCAGGGGACCUUCGGGCCUUGCGCUACUAGAGCGGCUGAUGGCAGAUUAGGUAGUUGGUGGGAUAAAAGCUUACCAAGCCGACGAUCUGUAGCUGGUCUGAGAGGACGACCAGCCACACUGGGACUGAGACACGGCCCAGACUCCUACGGGAGGCAGCAGUGGGGAAUUUUGGACAAUGGGCGAAAGCCUGAUCCAGCAAUGCCGCGUGCAGGAUGAAGGCCUUCGGGUUGUAAACUGCUUUUGUACGGAACGAAAAGCCCUCUUCUAAUACAGGAGGGUCAUGACGGUACCGGAAGAAUAAGCACCGGCUAACUACGUG